rnacentral:rRNA from 1 species
GAUGAACGCUAGCUACAGGCUUAACACAUGCAAGUCGAGGGGCAGCAUGGUUUUAGCUUGCUAAGGCCGAUGGCGACCGGCGCACGGGUGAGUAACACGUAUCCAACCUGCCGUCUACUCUUGGACAGCCUUCUGAAAGGAAGAUUAAUACAAGAUGGCAUCAUGAGUCCGCAUGUUCACAUGAUUAAAGGUAUUCCGGUAGACGAUGGGGAUGCGUUCCAUUAGAUAGUAGGCGGGGUAACGGCCCACCUAGUCUUCGAUGGAUAGGGGUUCUGAGAGGAAGGUCCCCCACAUUGGAACUGAGACACGGUCCAAACUCCUACGGGAGGCAGCAGUGAGGAAUAUUGGUCAAUGGGCGCAGGCCUGAACCAGCCAAGUAGCGUGAAGGAUGACUGCCCUAUGGGUUGUAAACUUCUUUUAUAAAGGAAUAAAGUCGGGUAUGUAUACCCGUUUGCAUGUACUUUAUGAAUAAGGAUCGGCUAACUCCGUG